CUUUGAACGCACAUUGCGCCCCUUGGUAUUCCGAGGGGCAUGCCUGUUCGAGCGUCAUUUCAACCCUCAAGCUCUGCUUGGUAUUGGGCUCCGUCCUCCACGGACGCGCCUUAAAGACCUCGGCGGUGGCGUCUUGCCUCAAGCGUAGUAGAAAACACCUCGCUUUGGAGCGCACGGCGUCGCCCGCCGGACGAACCUUUGAAU
rnacentral:rRNA from 1 species